rnacentral:tRNA from 1 species
GGUAAUAUAGCUCAGUGGUAGAGCACAUGCUUAGCAUGCACAAGGUCCUGGGUUCUGUCUCCAGUAUUGCCA